rnacentral:rRNA from 1 species
CCUACGGGAGGCAGCAGUGGGGGAUAUUGCACAAUGGGGGGAACCCUGAUGCAGCGACGCCGCGUGGGUGAAGGAGUGCUUCGGCAUGUAAAGCCCUAUCGGCAGGGAAGAAGCAAGACGGUACCUGACUAAGAAGCCCCGGCUAACUACGUGCCAGCAGCCGCGGUAAUACGUAGGGGGCGAGCGUUAUCCGGAUUCACUGGGGGGAAAGGGGGCGUAGACGGCCAAGCAAGCCAGGGGUGAAAGCCCGGGGCCCAACCCCGGGACUGCCCUUGGAACUGCAUGGCUGGAGUGCGGGAGGGGCAGGCGGAAUUCCUGGUGUAGCGGUGAAAUGCGUAGAUAUCAGGAGGAACACCGGCGGCGAAGGCGGCCUGCUGGACCGCGACUGACGUUGAGGCUCGAAAGCGUGGGGAGCGAACAGGAUUAGAUACCCUUGUAGUC